rnacentral:rRNA from 1 species
UACGUAGGGUGCAAGCGUUGUCCGGAAUUAUUGGGCGUAAAGAGCUCGUAGGCGGUUUGUCGCGUCUGCCGUGAAAGUCCGGGGCUCAACUCCGGAUCUGCGGUGGGUACGGGCAGACUAGAGUGCGGGUAGGGGAGAUUGGAAUUCCUGGUGUAGCGGUGGAAUGCGCAGAUAUCAGGAGGAACACCGAUGGCGAAGGCAGAUCUCUGGGCCGUAACUGACGCUGAGGAGCGAAAGCAUGGGGAGCGAACAGG